GAUGAACGCUGGCGGCGUGCCUAAUACAUGCAAGUCGAGCGAACGGACGAGAAGCUUGCUUCUCUGAUGUUAGCGGCGGACGGGUGAGUAACACGUGGAUAACCUACCUAUAAGACUGGGAUAACUUCGGGAAACCGGAGCUAAUACCGGAUGAUAUUUUGAACCGCAUGGUUCAACAGUGAAAGACGGCCUUGCUGUCACUUAUAGAUGGAUCCGCGCUGCAUUAGCUAGUUGGUAAGGUAACGGCUUACCAAGGCAACGAUGCAUAGCCGACCUGAGAGGGUGAUCGGCCACACUGGAACUGAGACACGGUCCAGACUCCUACGGGAGGCAGCAGUAGGGAAUCUUCCGCAAUGGGCGAAAGCCUGACGGAGCAACGCCGCGUGAGUGAUGAAGGUCUUCGGAUCGUAAAACUCUGUUAUUAGGGAAGAACAUAUGUGUAAGUAACUGUGCACAUCUUGACGGUACCUAAUCAGAAAGCCACGGCUAACUACGUG
rnacentral:rRNA from 1 species